AUUGAACGCUGGCGGCAUGCCUUACACAUGCAAGUCGAACGGUAACGGGCCUUCGGGUGCCGACGAGUGGCGAACGGGUGAGUAAUGUAUCGGAACGUACCUUUCAGUGGGGGAUAACGUAGCGAAAGUUACGCUAAUACCGCAUAUUCUGUGAGCAGGAAAGCAGGGGAUCGCAAGACCUUGCGCUGAUUGAGCGGCCGAUAUCAGAUUAGCUAGUUGGUGAGGUAAAGGCUCACCAAGGCGACGAUCUGUAGCGGGUCCGAGAGGAUGAUCCGCCACACUGGAACUGAGACACGGUCCAGACUCCUACGGGAGGAAGCAGUGGGGAAUUUUGGACAAUGGGGGCAACCCUGAUCCAGCCAUGCCGCGUGAGUGAAGAAGGCCUUCGGGUUGUAAAGCUCUUUCGGCCGGGAAGAAAUCGUAUCAGCUAAUACCUGGUGCGGAUGACGGUACCGGCAUAAGAAGCACCGGCUAACUACGUGCCAGCAGCCGCCGUAAUAC
rnacentral:rRNA from 1 species